CUUAUACUUAGGAAUGCAUAUAUGGAACGCCUCUAAAUGUCCUCACAUUUUAAUUAUAAGCAACUUUGAAAACAAAUUAUACUUACAAACUUUAAAUGCAUAAUAAUUUUAAAAUGAUCGGUAAAGACAAAAGCAUCCAUUAUUUUUUUCAAAUCACUGCCACCUUUUUUUCGUGAAUUCAAACAAUUUCAAUUAAAAAUUGAUACCGGUUACAUUUUUUCUUGUUUUUCAUAAGCUAUUGUAAACUCACCAUGGCCCUCCUCCUCCAAAAUAUGCUCCUAACGUGGGAUUUCUGUCACAUCGGCUCCCGUCACACUUCCGUACCGGAAUAAUACAAUCAAU